UGGGCGAAUCUCAAAAGCAAGAAAUACAUGUCUUAUUUCUCCAUCAAGAGGGCGUUAAAGCCAGAUUUCCUUUACUUUUCCGAGGUUGUUUCUAACAAUUGUAACAGCUUUUCUAUCCAACAUCUUAUUAAUUUCUUAUAAUUAUGGAUUUAAAUGGUUCCACGUCGACAACCACAGGACGUCAACGAGAAAAUGCUGUUCGGGAUAACUUUAUCACGAUGCCCGUAAAGAAAAAAAGCAGAUGCCCCGUGUUAACGAAAAACGGUGGAUUGAAAACCCGUAGCAAGUUUUGCGCCGUGGAGUUGAAAGGAAAGAAAGAGAACCGAUUUAAAGACCCCGAAGAGCUUUCAGAAGGAGGUCUACAACGUAACGCAAAAGAAGGGCGAGAGAAGAAAAAGGGGUUUUGCAGGAAUUCAGAGGAGAGCCUUCCGGGGUCAUGCCAGAGAAAGUCUGAGAUGUGGGGAAGUGGGUCCCCUCACUUGAAGAAGGAUGGGGAGGAGGCGCUGGUCAAUUUGUUGAGACAUCGUUUAAAGUAUUUUGCAGGGUGUUAGAACCCUACUUCCCAGAAUCACGCUACUGUUCCGGAGUUCCAGGAUCUUGAAGAAUCGCCCGCUUCCCCACACUCACCGCGCAACCAUAAAGGAGUCUGGCACACAGCACGUGGAAAAGUAACUGUGUCUGUAGAUGGAUGGUACCAGAGAGAGCUGUCGGCAUCCUUCCUAAUUCUAGAAAAAGCCUUGAAACGAAGUGGGGAGACUGUGGUGAAUAUUGGAGAUUAUUAGGAGGACUGGGAAGAAGAGUGUAGGGAUCAUACUGAUGCUUCAAUAGAGGGCGGAGAAAGCGUUCUUAGCGGUCCUGUAAACUGUUGUGUGUCUUAUUCGGAAAAGCCAAUCCCACUCAAAAUAAUAAAAGAUUAUAGAAUUCAAGAUACA